CUAAUGAUGAAAUUAAUUGGUCCGUGUUGAUGAUGUUAUUUGAUUAUAUUCUUCCAAUUACUGAAGUGA
rnacentral:snoRNA from 1 species